rnacentral:rRNA from 1 species
GUGCCAGCCGCCGCGGUAAGACGGAGGGUGCAAGCGUUGUUCGGAAUUACUGGGCGUAAAGCGCGGGCAGGUGGUCCUUUAAGUCCUUUGUGAAAUCCCGGGGCUCAACUCCGGAUGUGCAUAGGAUACUGGAGGACUGGAGACUGGUAGAGGCGAGCGGAAUUCCUGGUGUAGCGGUGGAAUGCGUAGAUAUCAGGAAGAACACCGGUGGCGAAGGCGGCUCGCUGGGCCAGUUCUGACACUCAUCCGCGAAAGCGUGGGGAGCAAACAGGAUUAGAUACCCCCGUAGUCC